rnacentral:rRNA from 1 species
CCUACGGGUGGCUGCAGUGGGGAAUAUUGGGCAAUGGGCGCAAGCCUGACCCAGCAACGCCGCGUGAAGGAAGAAGGCUUUCGGGUUGUAAACUUCUUUUGACAGGGAAGAGCAGAAGAAGGUACCUGUCGAAUAAGCCACGGCUAAAUACGUGCCAGCAGCCGCGGAAAUAAGUAGGUGGCAAGCGUUGUUCGGACUUACUGGGUGUAAAGGGCGUGUAGCCGGGCUGACAAGUUAGAUGUGAAAGCCGGGGGCUCAACCCCCGAACGGCAUUUGAAACUGUUGGUCUUGAGUAUCGGAGAGGCAGGCGGAAUGCCUAGUGUAGCGGUGAAAUGCGUAGAUAUUAGGAGGAACACCAGUGGCGAAGGCGGCCUGCUGGACGACAACUGACGGUGAGGCGCGAAAGCGUGGGGAGCAAACAGGAUUAGAUACCCUUGUAGUC